rnacentral:lncRNA from 1 species
GGGGGCGUGUGAGGGCGGCUUUGCCUCCGCCUCUGCUCACUUCCUUUCUCAGGAAUGGUGGGCGCCGUCCCCACCCCUCACUGGCAGUGACGGUGGACAACAAAGGGGCUCGGGGUGGCGGCCAGACAAAGAGUUGCAGCGCCGGGGGAAGUUGGGAACAAAGGUAGGGGGCUGGGAGCUUCAGGGAGACGCGCUACAAGAACCCCAAAGCAGAAAGUGCCUUUGUCUCCUGGGCUGCCCAAACUUGCGGAAAGCCGGGUGGUCCUACCUCACCCGCCGCCCACCUGGGCCUGAUCGGCCGCGCUGGGACGAUGCCCUCACCGCGCAUCCAGCUGAGAGGGAAACAGGUCGGACCUGGGCAGCGCCCGAGGGAAAGCCUGGGUAGCCAGCGGCCGGCAUGUAAAGGCCCCGCCUCCUCAAAGGAAAGGCUGCUGGGUCUCUUGCUGAACUGAAGCUUGCUGUCUGACUGGGCUGACUGACCAAGGAGCUCCUGGGAUCUACUUGUCUCCAUCCCCCAUCCCCCAUCUCCCCAGGGCUGGGGUAAAAGGCACCAAGU